CAGCCAGGCAUAAAAAGGAAGAAAUAAGGGAGGGCAGGAAGGAAGGAAAAUUUAAAGAUGAAAAAGUCAAUUACUCUUCCCACACUUGCUCACCCUUGGACUUACUGCAUUAAUAUCAGCUUAGCAAUAUCUACUUGUUGAGUAUAGGCUGUGUACAGAGCACCAUGUGAGAGAUUAAAAGAGAAAAUACAUCAUCCCAGGAUUUGAGUCACUAACUCAGCUCUGCUCUCUUCUACAACCCCAUGAAAGAUGGUAACUCCAUCUGUCCUGCAAACUUUCAGCCGACUUCAUUACAAAAAUACCCCAGGACCAAAGCCAGAGCUAAUGAGCAUCUUAGACCAUUUGGAAGAAGAAAGGCUAUUUUUUGGCUGAGGAUAAUUGAGCUUCACUUCAAAUCAGAAUCUAAGCUAUUAUUUUCUCUGUACCGAAUCCAAAUCACUGAGAUUCCUGAAGUUUGUCCAUGGUUAUUGUCCACCUGAUGCCAAAAUAUUCUGAUGAAAAGCGAAACAUUCAGCCAGUUGUGUGAAUUCUUUGUCCUGAAAUCUAAAAGCUCAGCCAUCUGGCAGGAUAGCAGAACAGCUGAACAGUCAACUGAUGCUCCUGCUGUAGAUUGAGAGGCCACAAGAAUUGUGCAGAUAAGAUCUCCUGCAAAAAUCAAAAUGCAAAGACCCAAUGCCAAUGUCCCUCAUUAUUGAUAAAGUGGGAUCCACAGCAUUAAAAUCAUGGAAGUUUGGAGUAAAAAGGAAUCCUGUCCAACUGCCUCUGUUUACAGAUAAAGAAAUUGAGGCAGCUCGUAUCCAUCGUUUCAAACCUUGACCAAAUGCCCUCUCCUCUGGGGAACUUUUCUUCACUUCCCCCAGGCUGCUAUCUGCUCUGGCUCCCACAGCUAACUACCAGCACUCACCCCCUCACAUCCAAUUUAUCUGCUUGUGCAUCUGUUUCCUCCACUUACUCUGUAAAACUACCGAAGACUAGGGCCAACAGCUCUGUACCCUAAAAUUCUAGCCCAAAGAAUGUUCUCAAAGAAAGAUUGUUGGAUGAGCUUAGGGUGAGAAUCUGAAUCAAUGUGCACUCCAAAUACAUUCUUUCUCCACACCUAUGUUGAAAUGGUAGUAGCAAAAUUCAACAGAAAUUCUAGACGUACAAUUCGUCCUAAGCACUAAAA